UGCAUUCAUGUGGAAGGGGAACCAUAUCCGGGUGUUUGUAAAUUACUUUGAAUCGUAACUCUGAAACCAUCCAAGAUCUGAAAGUAAUGUCACUAAAAAUGUGGACUUCUCUAAUCCUACUUGGGAUAGCACUAACAUCUACUACAGCAAUUACUAAUUUCCAGUUCCCAAGUGGAACCCCGUGUAUAAUCUUUGAUACAUCACUUCCAAUCAGUGUCAUUGGAGUUUUUAAAUCCGGCCCAGAGGCAAAACAGAUCGAGCUUGACAAGAAAGCCG